ACUCCUACGGGAGGCAGCAGUGGGGAAUUUUGGACAAUGGGCGAAAGCCUGAUCCAGCAAUGCCGCGUGUGUGAAGAAGGCCUUCGGGUUGUAAAGCACUUUUGUCCGGAAAGAAAUCCUUGGCUCUAAUACAGUCGGGGGAUGACGGUACCGGAAGAAUAAGCACCGGCUAACUACGUGCCAGCAGCCGCGGUAAU
rnacentral:rRNA from 1 species